rnacentral:rRNA from 1 species
AGUGAACGCUGGCGGUAGGCCUAACACAUGCAAGUCGAACGGCAGCACAGUAAGAGCUUGCUCUUACGGGUGGCGAGUGGCGGACGGGUGAGGAAUACAUCGGAAUCUACUUUUUCGUGGGGGAUAACGUAGGGAAACUUACGCUAAUACCGCAUGCGACCUACGGGUGAAAGCAGGGGAUCUUCGGACCUUGCGCGAUUGAAUGAGCCGAUGUCGGAUUAGCUAGUUGGCGGGGUAAAGGCCCACCAAGGCGACGAUCCGUAGCUGGUCUGAGAGGAUGAUCAGCCACACUGGAACUGAGACACGGUCCAGACUCCUACGGGAGGCAGCAGUGGGGAAUAUUGGACAAAGGGCGCAAGCCUGAUCCAGCCAUACCGCGUGGGUGAAGAAGGCCUUCGGGUUGUAAAGCCCUUUUGUUGGGAAAGAAAAGCAGCAGGUUAAUACCCCGCUGUUCUGACGGUACCCAAAGAAUAAGCACCGGCUAACUUCGUG